AUGGAGCUGGAGGUGAUCACUGAGAACUCAACCAUCUGGUUUGAGCCACAGUGUUUUAUAUCACCCCUGGAGGUGAUCACUGAGAACUCAACCAUCUGGUUUGAGCCACAGUGUUUUAUAUCACCCCUGGAGGUGAUCACUGAGAACUCAACCAUCUGGUUUGAGCCACAGUGUUUUAUAUCACCCCUGGAGUUGAUCACUGAGAACUCAACCAUCUGGUUUGAGCCACAGCGUUUUAUAUCACCCCUGGAGGUGAUCACUGAGAACUCAACCAUCUGGUUUGAGCCACAGUGUUUUAUAUCACCCCUGGAGUUGAUCACUGAGAACUCAACCAUCUGGUUUGAGCCACAGUGUUUUAUAUCACCCCUGGAGUUGAUCACUGAGAACUCAACCAUCUGGUUUGAGCCACAGUGUUUUAUAUCACCCCUGGAGGUGAUCACUGAGAACUCAACCAUCUGGUUUGAGCCACAGUGUUUUAUAUCACCCCUGGAGUUGAUCACUGAGAACUCAACCAUCUGGUUUGAGCCACAGUGUUUUAUAUCACCCCUGGAGGUGAUCACUGAGAACUCAACCAUCUGGUUUGAGCCACAGUGUUUUAUAUCACCCCUGGAGGUGAUCACUGAGAACUCAACCAUCUGGUUUGAGCCACAGCGUUUUAUAUCACCCCUGGAGGUGAUCACUGAGAACUCAACCAUCUGGUUUGAGCCACAGUGUUUUAUAUCACCCCUGGAGGUGAUCACUGAGAACUCAACCAUCUGGUUUGAGCCACAGUGUUUUAUAUCACCCCUGGAGGUGAUCACUGAGAACUCAACCAUCUGGUUUGAGCCACAGUGUUUUAUAUCACCCCUGGAGGUGAUCACUGAGAACUCAACCAUCUGGUUUGAGCCACAGUGUUUUAUAUCACCCCUGGAGGUGAUCACUGAGAACUCAACCAUCUGGUUUGAGCCACAGUGUUUUAUAUCACCCCUGGAGGUGAUCACUGAGAACUCAACCAUCUGGUUUGAGCCACAGUGUUUUAUAUCACCCCUGGAGGUGAUCACUGAGAACUCAACCAUCUGGUUUGAGCCACAGUGUUUUAUAUCACCCCUGGAGGUGAUCACUGAGAACUCAACCAUCUGGUUUGAGCCACAGCGUUUUAUAUCACCCCUGGAGGUGAUCACUGAGAACUCAACCAUCUGGUUUGAGCCACAGUGUUUUAUAUCACCCCUGGAGGUGAUCACUGAGAACUCAACGAUCUGGUUUGAGCCACAGCGUUUUAUAUCACCCCUGGAGUUGAUCACUGAGAACUCAACGAUCUGGUUUGAGCCACAGCGUUUUAUAGCAAAGUCCAUCCUCCUUCAGUCUACAUGA
rnacentral:lncRNA from 1 species